UCCCUGGUGGUCCAGUGGCUAAGAUUCUGUGGUCCCAAUGCAGAGGGCUCAGGUUUGAUUCCUGGUGAGGGAA
rnacentral:tRNA from 1 species